ACUUGCAUAAUAUAGAGGACACGCUCCCAGGUGGGCAUGCAGGGAUCCUGGAAUGUGGCCCCGAUAUUGCUGAGUAAUGCUGAGCGUGAACGGCUGAAGAGACUGCUGUGCCCUGGUGGAGCAGGGAGGCUCUCUUCUUGCAGAGCAUCGGCAGGAAGCCUGCUUAACCCUCUUUAGCUGUGGCUUUAUGCUUGUAACCAAAACAGGGAUAUGAGUAAGAAGGGUUGUUGAGAAACACGAGCCUUUUGCAGCUGGCUGAGGGCAGAGCAUUUUGUCUCAUCAAAGGCAGCCCCCAAAAAAUUAAAGCACUGCAGAGUUCGUACAAGAGAAUUAAUUGGUUCAAUAUUCAGCUGUUAUCCUCUAAUGAAUGGGGUGCCGGGGGGUCACUUGUAAAAACGAAGUACAUAUGCACCAGUGAAUUUGCAUAUUGUGGUGUGAGACGAGAUGUUGAUUAGUCUAAAAUACAGCGUCCUGCAUUUGCAAGAUUGAAUUAACUUCGAAUGUAUCCAGUUCUGGUGCGGUUGCUUAUUUAUUUGGUUAAUGUUGCAGAGGCAUAUUAUUAGAGAGCGGCUUCAGUCUGCACUCUGUAAUAAGCAAGUUCUGAAUUUACCUCAUUAAUCUAUCGUGCUACCUAGCAAAAUAACAGUUGUUUUUAACAAGCUGGAGUUAUGUAACAUGAAUCAUGCAUGGCAAGAUGCUUGCAAGCAGGGGAAAGCAAGAUGUGCUAAGGAAUAACAGUAUUCAGCCUUCUGCAAGAUAGGAUAUGACUGGCUUUGGAAAUUAAACGCUGUGUGUUGUUAUUCUCGGCCUUACAGACAAGUUCCAGCUAUUCAUUAUGAGAAUGCGUCUUGAAACAAAGUCUUGAGAUGGGAAUGUUUAACAGACAGAAGGGUGAAUUUGCCCAGCCGUGUGCAGUCCUUGGAGGAUUUUUUUUGAUCUUAAAAGCUGUACCGAGAUGUUAAGCCUGGGAUAACCUUUUCCUUUGGUGACACGGAUACAAAAAUCACGUAACCAUAUUGGGAAAUAAAGCACUGAGAAUAAUAGCCUUUAGGAAGGGAAUGGCAAAGAUGGUGGUUUGGAAAAGGAAUGAUUUAAUGUUCGUGAAUUUCUUUUCAAAUCGUCCUUCUCACGUUAAGCAAAUCUUUCUGUAUUUUUUCAUACAUGGAUAAAAUUAAAGUGUAGAGAAGGACUGCUAACCGCUGUACUUUGAGAUUUUACUAAUAUUAGUAACAAAUAAGCAAAAAAAAAAAAAGUGCUGAUAUUUAUGGUUUUCAUUUCUCUGUUACCAUACAUGCUUACACACACAGUGGCUGAUUAAGUGUCAGGGCAGAUAGCAGCAGAGAUGUUAGAAGAAGAAACAGUUACGUCUCCAAGUUGCUCCUGUAACUAGCGCCAUUGCUAGCACUCUGAACUUGGCGAACAAGGGCUGAACAAGCCUGGAUUUUCUCAACAUGGAUUUUCUCUACAUAGAUUUUCUCACACAGAAGGUCACUCAGGUCACAGACAAAGAUGUUGAAAAAGCAUUAUAAAGAAGGCGGUUGUGUUGCUCUCAUUAUGUCCUUGUUUUCUAAACAAAUGCAGCACAGCACCCCUCAGAAAAACUUGCCUUUUAGGAAAACUGAAGAGAAGUUUCAGUCUUAGAAUAACUUUAAUUUAUCUUAUUGGAUUGACUUAGUUUUGUAUAGCUGUGCAUUAUUAGGAGAACAGUAGAGCCAAGUGUAGAAGUAGUGCUACAGAAGGACACCAACAUCUGGUGGGUGGAGAAGGACCCUCUCCUGAAUUUGCAUGAUUGUUAACUAAAUAUAAAGUUCAUCAAAUGAUUUCUAGUUGUUUUGACUCCAGUACUCUUUCCUUUUUACUCCAUAAUACUUUUUUGGCUAGUAGUAAUGUCCUUUCUGAAAAUCUAUGAUUUCCUCAAUGCAGGUGAAUAUUAUGUAGAGGCAUCAAAUUAAAUUAUUGGCAUUUUUUUUUUUUCACACUAUCAAUAGUAGCAAGGUCGCCAUUCUAUGAUGUGACUAAUUAGGAAGAUUGAAGUGUCUUUUGUGGGAUCUUCCCUUGCUCUUUGGUGGGACGUGAGGGCUGCUCAAUGGCCAUGGUGUGAGGCGUGGGCAGCACAGGAGGGGCUGCCCUUGGUUUCUACUGGAAUUUCUGUUGAGAUCAGGGCAACGUGAAUGAGCAAAGCAGGGCAAACAGGUGGCUGCUGUGUGAAAGAAAAUACCAUGAGUAACACUGCUGUGUAUGAGUGUGGUGGGGUGUCGGUGUGCACACAGAGAUUGGCUUGUCGAGGAGCAGCUCUCACAUCCUGGGGUCCUUGAAAUGAUCGUCAGAGGUUAAUAGUCUUGGUCAGAAUGCUCUGCAGAAAGAUUUCUUGCCCUGGGAAUUGUUGUGCGCAGUUGUCUCAUUUUCCUUUCCUCUCUUGAAAGCCAAUGUUAUCUUGUCCAUUCAACCCCGUAAAGUAUCCCCAGGUUAUCAAGUUCUUCUCAUAUUGCAGCAAAACUUGAAAUAAUUACCAAUUCAGCUUCACUAUUUCUGUCAGCUUAAAAAAAAAAAAAAAAAGAAAAGAAAUUUAAUUUACACUAAUUACUCAGAACUUGAGAUGCUCAGCAUGAAAGUGGCUAGGUGCAAAAUAGGAUUAAAUAUGUAAAGGAGAAAAAAGCAUUGUGUGUUGCAUUUUUCCUAUUUAAUGCUCUGUUUGUAUGUCAUUACCAAGCCAUCUGCAAGCAGAAUUCUCCUAGCAGACUGAAGCAGCUCUUCAAGAAAAAAAUUAAAAAUAAGAACAGUCAGGCUGAUAAUUUAAAAACAAAGAUUUGGUGUGAACAGAUUAAGAUGGGAGAGUUGUACUGAAAUGUCAUUAUUGCAGGCUUACUUUCUCUUAACUGUGGUACUCUGUGGUCCCCAGUAUGAUCUGAGGAGCCAAGCAAUGGGCAUGCUUUCUCCAUAUUUUGUUGCUGAAACACGAACACUUUGCAUCCCCAAAACUUCUGUGCGUGUGUCUGUGUGUGUAGGGGGAAGGGGGAAGUCAUCCUCAAGGUAACACUGAAGGUUGCAUAAUGUAACAUCAGAGGUACAGGGACCGAGCUCCUCAUUGCAGCAACGAGUUUUAGUAUGGAUUUCACUGGAGAGCAUUAGUGUUGUUCCUGUAAUUGUUCUCAACUCUACCGCUUGUCCUGUGUGGAUGUGUAACAGCUGUGGCACAGUCAGAUCACAGUUCAUAAUGCUUCUGCUCUUUGGGGAAUGAGAAAUAAAAGCUUUUGUGCAGUCCCAGAUGAGAGUGGCCACAGAGGUGGGCUGAACGCACCGUCACUCCUGCUGAGGUGAGCGCAGUUCUGCACUGCUAUUGCCAUGGUACGCAUCUCUUUGGAAGCACCAGCACAACACGCAUUUGUGAUCCAGAGAGUUUGUCUCACCAUCCAGAAAUGCGUAUGUUCUCUUUCUUCACCUCAGCUGACCCUGGCUUUGAACCCUCCCAAACCUUGGAGAUGUUUAUAGCUGCGCUUUGUUUUGUGAAUGGAAUUUGUUUUUCUAAGUGCAGCAUGAAGAUUUGCUUUAUCUGCAUGGAGCAUGCUUGCUUGAGCAGUUGCUUUCCACAGUGUGGCAUUUGUAGAUUAAAAUCUUUUCUGCCUUGGUGGUGCCGAUUCAGUUCAUUCUGCAGCUAGUCCAUUUUGCUAGCAUGCUACAGUAAGGUGCCUGGCUGCUGCAGUGAGAAAGGGAAUUUUUUUCAUUUCCUCUGAGGUGUAGAUUUGAAAUGAAACUAUUUUUUUAAGGUAAUCUGAAAACUAGAAUGACACUCCAUGCUUCAACGCGUGUUUCGUUUCACCUGUAAAACUACUUUUAAUUCUUGUGUUUGCACUUGGAACUUGAACGCUUUACACUGACACUAGAAAUGACAGCCCUGUGCAUAGAAUGUACGUUUUAUUUUAUUUUGGCAUAUUUUACUGUCCACCAGGUGUUGAUCAGAGAAUUCAGCAGUAUACAGCUGCUGUGAUGUAGUUACUGUAUGUAAUACUCUACCUAAGGAAACACGGUCUAGUGACUAGCUGGAUGGGAGGGGUUUGAUGCCCGCAGAUUCAGUUCCUGGUUCUGCUACACAGCUCAUGCGUUUGGGGUAAGGUUCACACCACCUUACACUGAUUUUCAUGUGAGUUAAAUUCAUAAAUACGAGUUGUGCACAAAAAUACCCUCGCUGCGCAAUAUUCUCUUUAUGUCGGUAACACUUCCUCACCUGACUGAGAUGUCACGUAGGCAGAUGCUGUGUUCUGCUUUUGAUCCAUACAGAGCCAGUAGGUGCUCUGUACUGACACCAAUUGCAAGACUUGAACCUUUUGUAUUUUUUUGGUGUGCUUUUAAGUGGCCAUUCUCUGAGCGAUCAAUAAUUGCGCUACUUACCAUGAGUACACUGCUGUUAAAGACCAUACAGCAGUCAGGCUACAUGCAGCUUCAGGGCCCAGUUCUGUCUCCUUUGCUUGGGAGUGAAAACAGCCAGGCUAAAGCAGAAUCAGAGACUACGAUGCUGAGAAGGGCAACUUGUGUAGAUCUGGGUCCAAAUGUUAAAUGCCCUGUUUAGAAUAAGAAGGGGUACGUUUUUUCCUCCCAAACAAACUGGUAGAAUUCAAAGUGGAUGUUUGUAAUUUAAGAUAUUGUGUUGUGUUGAGUGUUAAACAGCAGUGUUGAAGAGUGCAGGGAAAAGAUAUUUCUGCUGUGGUAAGAACUAAUACGAGCAGUGCAGAAUGCCCUGGUAUUACCCUGGCUUUUUUUUUUUUUUCCAACUUUGUGAAAUAUGCAUUUUGAAGUAUCUAGGCAGUUCGGAGAGUAACUGAACUGAGUAAAGUCUGGCAUAAGAUAGCAAGUGGGAACCCUAGAAAAUGUUUGUGGAUCUGUAGGGCACAGCAAUGCUUCCUGCCAGAGGAAGGCCCUAAGGACUCUCAUAGGCCUUGCCUGGAAGACUGUGUGGCAUCUGUGGCACGUAUGGGUCAUCAAGACAUCACAGGCAGCCCCAGAGCCACGUCUGUUCAUAGCAGACGAUGGUAUAGUCCUGAGCAGCCAUCAAGAUGCAGGGAAUGGGAGCAGGUGACCUCCAGACGUCCCCUCCAGCCUCAGCAUUGUGACCUGUCCCUCUGUGCCCAAAGACAGUGCAGUUACCUUGGCUUCUGACCUGGUUGGGAUGUUGUAGCAGAGCUCUGAGAAUAGCAAUUUGGGAAUCAGAGCUGGCUGUGGUGAGGAGUGCUUCAAAGUUAGUCUCUGCUAAGCUCUUUCAUCAGCAAUGCAUGCACCUCACUGAUGGACCUCUCUAGGAAACGUUGCUCAUCCCUGCUUCAUAACCAAACCUCGCAGCUUUUCACAGCUCUGCCCCCAGCUGCUGUGACCGGGUGAUGCCACAGGAUUGGGGCUGUGAGAGCAGCAGGGAGGGCUGUGCUAAUUUAGAUGAUUUAAAUAAUUGUGCUCUUGAUACUGCCCACUUCCUUCUGUUUUGCCAGUGACCCUUCUGGCAUAUUCAGUAGGAUGUGCUGCCCGCUGGCCGUCCUUUCUGCUCAUCUCAUCUCCUGCCCAGCAGUUCUUAUUGCUGGAAUGCUUCCUGCAUGCUGCAGCACCCAUCCUUCCCAGACACCUCGUUGUGAGCUGCUUAGCAAAUGCAGAGAAUCCUGUGAUGGGCAGAAAACAUAGCAUAUAGACCCAGUGAAAAGGGGAGCCCACCCUGGGCCAAGUAUCUGCCAGGUGUACCUCAUGCUUUCUUCACAAAACCUUCAAGUGCAACUUUAAUUCCAGGCAGAUUCCUAAGUUGUAGUGAAAUCCCUGGGUCCUGCACAUGCUCUUUAAUAUAGGCGUACAUUGUGAAUAGAAACAGCUUAAUGAACUGGAGCCAGGGUGGGGAAUUUUGGGACUCCUGCUGUUCUGCUUACAGUGUUUUGCAGGAGAGUUUAAGGCUGAGGAAUGACACCAACUGGAUUCACAGAACAAUCUGCUCCCGUUCGCACGAACUCCAAAUUAUUUUCCUUCUCACAUGCAAAGUUGUACCAAGAGUUGCAUUUAAAAACCCAUCUGCUGUCCAUAUUAUAUCAAUAGAAAGAAGUCUAAAAUUUUUCUAAAAUAUUCCGUUUACUCACUCCAUACUGCUGUCAUCUGUCUUUCAACUACAAGCCAUUUCUUGUAGUUGCACUCAAAAUCUUCCCUCCACCAACAGAUGAAACUCGUAGUUGCUAAAAGUGCAAAACUGGGAACAGGAUGCUAGAAACUAGCAGUGCCUGCUUUUCAAACGUGUUUCUGAUAGUAUAAAAUACAUAAAUUGAUGCAAUAAUUUUUCCUUACUGAGUGUGGGAAAUAGUAAUAAAUUACUUUAAAAGUUUUCUCGUGGUUUUUUUUUCAUUAUGCUAAUAAUAUUUUGAAAUCUCAACAAUGUCUAUAAAUGUCUGAAUAUAAUUUUACAUGCAAAUAUGUAGUGUGUGAGAUGUAUGAUAAGCGCCGGGCACAGGGUGUUUGUAGGAAACAAACUGGUGCCUGCAGCAGCAGUUUGUUGUGGCUGUGCUGGAAUAACAGAUUCAAGGGAUCUUAUUUGUCAGUACCUCACCUUGAGGGACCCAGCGGGAGGUGUAGGGGCUGGGUGGUUAUGAAGCGGCAGCUGUUGAGGUGGCAGCAGAUGUGCCUGACGAAGAGCCAGCUAGAGCGCUGCGAUCCACAGCCAUAGGUGAGCUGUUGAGCUGUGUGUUGCAGUGCCCAGACCUGCUUCCUUCCCACCUUUCUUUAGGGGUGAUUAGGUGCAGACUUCAGCUUUUAGUAGUGUUGCAUCUCCACGUGCCUAUUUUCUCUAGGGAUUCUGUGGUGUUUUACCAGUUAAUGCUGCUGUUUUUCCCUUGAGGAUGCUAAUGGGCCCUCUCUUGUCUGUUCAAGCACAAAUUGGGAUUGGAAGGAACUUCUGGCAACGGUGGUGCAGUUAAUCUUGCUAUGUCUGUUAAAUCUCUUUAGAGAAAUUAGUAGGGAAGAGACAGGUACAGGCAUGCCAUUACACACAAUGUGGUUGCAGAUCUCUUUUACUGAGGAAACGAGGCUACAAAAGAUAUCUUGUGAGGAAGACAGAAUGUAUUCCUUUGGGAAUACUUGCUGAAUAGGAAGCUCUGUAAAAAUGGCAAAAUGUUGGAACUGUGAGAUACAAGUGAUUUAUUAUUUUCUCCAUGAUAAUAUCUGAAGGUUUCUGUGAAGAUGUAGGCUUCCUAGACUUGCAUCUUAAGGCACGCCCUAUUUACAAUGUAAGUAUCUCACAAGAUUAGGAGCGGUAAGAAACAUUAUCAUGGGAAUCAAAGGCUGGUGAGAUGCCUUCCAGUGUCAGAUCUAAAAUUCAAGGCAGCCGAGAGCGGAGUCCGUUCCUCCAUCCGCAUAAGGUAGCACUCCCAGCACCAGAUGUUACAUAGAGGUCAGCCUUGUGGCGCUGUGUGAGCCAUAAGCCCUACGCUAGACCUUCAGCAAACCUUGCACCAGUGAAGCUUUUGACAUAUUUGGAGUUUAUUACAUGUAUCUUUGCGCUGUGAUUCAGGCUUAAAUUUGUUUCAUUCUGAAGUUUAAAGGCCCCUUCUGACUUAAAGCACAUGGAUUUUUUUUUAAGAUUGAUGGAAUAAUGUUAGACGCUGCUAUUUUAAAAACUGUUGUUGCCUUGCAAAAGUGAAUUUCAUGUUUCUUUGUCUAAUAAUGUAUUCAGAGCACUUGGAAGGAAGUUUUGGAGUAUGGAGAUUUCUGCCCUGGGGAGGUAGUAUCCUGUGCUUUAGUUAGGUCAUGUCAGGCCAUUGUUUUGCUUUUCAUAUCAUAAAGAUCUUGUGUCUUUAUUCGCACUCAGCUGUGGACUUGAGUUUCCUGCAGAGAGUGAAAUAAUUAAGAACUAAUGCUAUGAAAUCGUAUGUCCUCCAUUUGUAGCUGGGUUUAAUUGAAGGCAAUUUUUAUAUACAUAGUAAUAAGUGAUGUAUAUAAGUAACAAGUAAUAUUUCUAUUUGUGGUGCUCAGUAUAGCUGAAACGCAGCCGGAUUGUUUUCUAUGUGAGAAAACAAACAGAGAGAUUCAAAGGUUUGUAGAACUUGGGUCUCUAUCCGCUGCCUAAUUUCAGCCCUGCCUGCCGGCUGCUGCUCUCCGCUUUGCCUCUGCUGGUAGAUCACGCCGGGACAGGGAUGGAGUUGGGCACAAUAGAUUUACUGGUCCAGAUAUGGCAGGGGAGUUGGCUGGGUAUGCUGGAGGGUUUGUCAGCAUAAGGAGCCAGUAAAGCGGGCUUAUGCAUGGGGUGCCAACGAAGGGUGUGCAGAACACAGAGCUUACUCUUAAAACCUGCUGUGGCUACGCAGAGUCGCGCAACCUAAAUAUGGAUCUGGUGAGGAAGGGCACUCCUGGCUUAAAUUGAGAGCUUACGUUACUGUGCAGUUGUGGCAUGUAAGGGAGCAGCAACUCUCGAGGGAUUGCUGCUAAUGGGAUGGGCAAAGCCUCUCUGCCUUGCCUGUUAAGUCUGGGUUGGUGCUAAUGCCAGGGCUGGGGCAUGAACCUGAGUGAUGUAAGUAGUAGCAUCCACAGUCACAGCCUGGGGUGAGCAUGUGCCUGCUUUGCACAUCAGCUGGAUUUCCAUCAGGAUUUCUAGCACUGACAGCAGGACACUUUUCACCAGAACCAAGUUCAUCAUCAAACAGAAGGAGGCAUGCAAAGGGCAGUCUUGUUAAGUUUCACAUGCAUGAAGCUUUUGCUUUGGAAUGUGUUGUUCCAUUUCCUCCAAGUCUCCCUCGGGGAAACACCUGAUUUGGGUUUAUCCUGACUCUCCAGUUGUUACAUGCUACCUCAAGAUUGCAGCCACAGCUUCCGCCUGCACCAUCCUCUCCCUGGCUUCCCGCUGGUGCUGGGUGCAGCACAGCGGGUUGCCAGCAGAAAGCAGCCCUGGCUGCCCAGCCAAGGGUGCAGACGGAAAGAAAUGGCACCUGCUGCACUGCACAUCGGGGACAGGCCUAGCUGGGAGGAGUUGGCAGAGAUUGUGCUGAGGCUGUCUUCAUGGAUGGGGCAACAUCAGAAAGAGGUGCAACGCACAUUUGUAAGAAUAAAUGUGCAAAAUUGGUUCUUCUGGCUCCUCUUAUUGCAGACCAUCCUUUGCUGUGCAGAGGAUGUGCCCGUUGCGAGCUCUGAGCCGCCCUCAGCAGACGCUCUGUUACACUGUAGGUGCACAUCUGUGAUCUCAUCUUGAAAAAUACGACUUUACCUUCCACUUACCCUUCUGGAGACGGCUUGUCAGAGCAACAUGGUACCGCAAACUUAUCCUGCUUAAUGUCAGCUAAUUAAAUUCACUUUUGAAUAUAGUACUAAGCCAAUUUAAUUCUGUCUCUCAGAGCCUGCAGAGACGCUUGUGACUCUCGGAGGAG
ensembl:lncRNA